GAUGAACGCUGGCGGCGUGCCUAACACAUGCAAGUCGAGCGAGAUCUUCUGGAACGAAACUUCGGUCUAGAGAAGGAAGUGGAAGCGGCGGACGGGUGAGUAACGCGUAGGCAACCUGCCCCAUACAGAGGGAUAGCCUCGGGAAACCGGGAUUAAAACCUCAUAACGCGAUCUGGUCACAUGGCCGGAUCGCCAAAGAUUUAUCGGUAUGGGAUGGGCCUGCGGCUGAUUAGCUAGUUGGUGAGGUAACGGCUCACCAAGGCGACGAUCAGUAGCCGAACUGGGAGGGUAAUCGGCCACAUUGGAACUGAGACACGGUCCAAACUCCUACGGGAGGCAGCAGUGGGGAAUAUUGCACAAUGGGCGAAAGCCUGAUGCAGCAACGCCGCGUGAGUGAUGAAGGCCUUUGGGUCGUAAAGCUCUGUCCUAAGGGAAGAAACAAAUGACGGUACCUUAGGAGGAAGCCCCGGCUAACUACGUGCCAGCCGCCGCGGUAAUAC
rnacentral:rRNA from 1 species